AACCCCUUUUUUACAGCUUUCUUUUUCAAGUAAUUUGGUAACUGUUGUUGUUUCUUGAGGGAUUAAGACUUGAGUGAUGAUUUAGUUAUAGUUAGACAAACAAAAUUUAUAUGAAUCUUCUCACAGAUGCUUACUUGGAGUAUUUAUUUGACAAAGGAUUUUAAAAGAUUUGGUGGAUUUUAGUUUAUUAAUCUAACCGUUUGGGAUUUUUUUCCACGUUUUCCUUUUUCCGUGUAGUAGUAUUAUUAUAUAUCAGUGUAUCUAUAUAAUUAAUCACACAGUUAACAAAAAAGAAAUAAAACCCUAAAUUGCGAUCUCCAUCAUUAGCUCUCUCUCUCUCGAGUCUCGAUCGUCAACAAAUUGCGCUCUCCCUCCAACACGAAACUCUUCUCUCGCUUCUGUCUUUAUUUGAUUAGAUUCGUUUCGUUUCGUUUCGUUUCGUUUCUUUUCUGAGUGUGUUUGUUUGUUUGGUAAUGAUGAUGAAAGGUUCGUGUCCAACUAAAGAGCACUUCCUUCCCAGGAAGCGAUCCAAGGACAAUUAUGAUCGGUUUAUACCGAAUAGGUCUGCCAUGGACUUUGACUACGCUCAUUACGCUCUUACCGAAGGAGGAAGAAAAGUUCAGGAUGAGGUAACUUCACCAUCCAGAAAAGCCUACAUACAAGGAUUAGGUCAGAUCUUGAAUAUGAAUCGAACCCGGAUCCUCGCUUUCAGAAACAAACCUCAACCUCAAGCUCUGCUUUCUACUAGUAGUAUUCACUCUGUUUCUUCUUCUGAUCCUCACCAACCCGUAAAGCCUCGUAGAUACAUUCCUCAGACUUGUGAGAAAACCUUGGACCUACCUGACAUUGCCGAUGACUUCUACCUUAACUUGUUGGACUGGAGCAGUGCUAAUGUUCUAGCCGUGGCUUUGGGACACACUGUUUACUUGCGCAAUGCAUCCACUGAUCUUACAUAUGAGCUUGUGACCGUUGAUGAAGAGGAGGGACCUGUCACAUGCGUUAACUGGACGCAAGAUGGUAAAUCUCUUGCAGUUGGUCUUCACAACUCUGAGGUGCAGCUGUGGGAUUCUUCUGAUGGUAGACUGAUAAGAACUUUGAAACGUGGUCACCAGUCAAGAGUGGGUUCAUUGGCAUGGAACAAUCACAUUCUAACAACUGGAGGAAUGGACGGACGGGUCAUCAACAAUGAUGUGCGGAUCAGAUCACCCAUUGUGGCUACUUACGUGGGUCACACUGAAGAGGUUUGUGGUCUCAAGUGGUCAGCAUCAGGACGCCAACUAGCAAGUGGUGGUAACGACAGUGUGGUACACGUAUGGGAUCUUUCCUCCAACUCAACUAGGAGGCAAUGGCUGCAUAGGUUUCAGCAACAUAGAGCUUCUGUGAAAGCUCUUGCGUGGUGCCCUUUCCAAUCGAGUUUGCUUGCAACUGGUGGUGGUGGCAGAGAUCAGACGAUUAAGUUCUGGAAUACACUCACUGGGGCUUGCUUGAACUCAGUUGACACCGGCUCUCAAGUUUGUUCACUGUUAUGGAGCAAAAACGAAAGAGAACUGCUUAGCUCACAUGGGUAUACACAGAAUCAGCUUACACUUUGGAAGUACCCAUCCUUGGUGAAAAUGGCUCAACUCACUGGUCAUACAUCAAGAGUUCUUUAUAUGGCACAGAGUCCGGAUGGGUGUACCGUGGCUUCAGCAGCACCAGCACCAGACGAGACUCUCAUGUUUUGGAAUGUUUUUGGAGUACCAGGGACCGUCAAGAAACCUGUUCCAAAGAUGUUUCCAAUGAUAUAUACAUAGGAGAGACAUCAUCAAGGCUGCUGAUUCUUUCAGGCAGGUAAGGUUGCUAGACACAAGAUCUUCAGUCCAGUGGGUUGUCGCCAAAGUGUAAGAUUGAAUUAUUUCAACCAUUUUGAGAAAAUAUAUUGUGACAAGUUCGAAAACAAUCAGGCAAAGAUGAAACAAUUGUGGCUCAUAUAGCUGGAGGUAUUGAUGCAUUUUUAAAGGUCUCUGAUGGUUGGCCAAUGCUGAAUACCCCAUUGAAGCUUGCAUCUCUCAAGAACUCAGACAAUCAGUCAGAGGGAAUUUCUCUGAGCCUUAUAUGCAAAGUUGAGGAACUAGCGAAUUCGUUGGAUUUACAGACCCGGCAAAACUUGUCAGGCUUCAUGGAUGCUAUUGAGAAAAUACUUAUGCAACAAACCUGUGAAGAACUCCAGUCCAAUGAAUCCUCCCAAAAGUGAGAGUAACAUGGAUGCUUUGUUUUGGGAGUUGUGUGAUUCUUAUUUCAGGAUGUGGAGAAGUCAACAGAGAAUCCACCAUCUAGCCAGCUCAGUGGAAAUAUGGGGUGCGAAUGAUGAUGACAAGAUUAAGAGGUUUUUAAUAGGAAAAGAUUAGAAGAGUUCUAGCACAUAUCUGCUUAGUUUCUUCUAUACACCCACCCUUUUUUCACAUGUUUGAACUUGAAAAUCAGAUUGAGGAGAAAAAUGAUGAUUCUGGAGUCAUAAGAAGAUCUGGAUUCUUCACGUAAAAGGUUCGAUGCUGCAGCAAACCAGUGAACUCCAUUCCAAUGAAUCCCUCCCAGAAAGAGUGUACCAAUCAAGAACCAACCUCGACUUCACAACAACUUAGCGUUUCCUGGAGAGUUUGUGCGGUUUUUCUUUCGUUUCGAUCUCCUUUAAUGUUUUGUCGUCAGUAACUCUUUGUUGUAGUACUUUGGCAUUUUCUGCCACGGUCCAUCGCAUGACAUCUAAUGAGAGGGAGCUUGCUGGUUCAUGUA